rnacentral:tRNA from 1 species
GCGUCUGUGAGGUAACGGUAGCCUCCCAACUUCCCAAGCUGGUCGUGCGGGUUCAAAUCCCGCCAGACGCU